rnacentral:rRNA from 1 species
GCAUCGAUGAAGAACGCAGCGAAACGCGAUAGGUAAUGUGAAUUGCAGAAUUCCGUGAAUCAUCGAAUCUUUGAACGCACCUUGCGCCCCAUGGCAUUCCGUGGAGCAUGCCUGUUUGAGUGCCGCGAAAUCUCCCACCCCUAGCGGUUGCCGCAAGGCGCCGCCGGGCGGCGGGGUUGGUUGGGUGCCGCUGCCUGGGCUUUGGCCCAGGCUCGCCCGAAAUGCAUGAGCGCUUAGCACUCGCACCGUCUCGAGGGAAGGCGGCGGAGCUGGCAUCUGCGCAUGGCAUGAUACGUCAUUUGCUGUGUGGCAGCCCAGCGACCCGAGAGUGUGUGUGCGCUACUACACGCCCUUUCAUUUCUGGUCUCAAAUCAGGUAGGAUCACCCGCUGAACUUAAGCAUAUCAAUAAGCGGAGGA